rnacentral:tRNA from 1 species
ACUUUAGUUUAAUGGUAGAACUGUAGCUUCCCAAGCUUCAAGCGCGGGUUCGAUUCCCGUAAGU